CCAACCAGGGCCAGCUGGACAUCAUUAACUGUGUUACCUGUAAGUGUAGGUUGCUAAUCAGAUUUCACCUGAGAUGACAAUAGCUCAUAUACAUUUGUAUAGUUUUAUACAGUUAUUAGACUGGAUAACAUUUUCACACGUAUGUGCAUGAUAAUCAAGAGGAAAUGACCAUGUGUUUGACAUAAAGCAAAUUAAUAGAAUCAGCGGAAAGUGAGUGAUGUGAUCAGAAUAAAUUCCUUUGGCUUUAUUUCUCAUUUCUUUCCAUGUAGAGAAAAAAAUGGCCAUGAACCAAAAUCCAGGAAGCACAGAAUUAACAGCCUCUGUGGAACCUGGUGCUGAUGUCACCUACAGCUCCAUUCUCCUGCCAGAUCCACAGGUGUCCUCUAGAUGUUCUUCACACCGACCUGCUGUAACCCCAGCCAGCGAUGUGGUCUACAGCUCAGUCACCCCGAAGCACAGAGA